UACAGAGGGUGCAAACGUUGCUCGGAAUCACUGGGCGUAAAGGGCGUGUAGGCGGGUAGGAAAGUCAGAUGUGAAAUCCCUGGGCUCAACCCAGGAACUGCAUUUGAAACUCCCUUUCUUGAGUGUCGGAGAGGAAAGCGGAAUUCCUGGUGUAGAGGUGAAAUUCGUAGAUAUUCGCAAGAACACCAGUGGCGAAGGCGGCUCACUGGCCCGAUACUGACGCUGAGGCACGAAAGCGUGGGGAGCAAACAGG
rnacentral:rRNA from 1 species